UCAGCCGCCACCGACUCCUUCAACGGGAAACGACUCGUGUGUAGAAACCAAGACUCGCCCAACAUCAGCCGGUACAACCCUGAAAUCCAUCGGAACUAUAAGAACAUAUGAUGCGAUGGCGCACACGCUCCUCAUUCUCCUUCCUCUCGUCCUCCAUCACUGACCGAUCCUCUGCUGUUUUUCAGUAACGAUACUGUUCCAAAAGAUCCAUUCAUGGACUCAUAAAAUGACAACGUUGGCGGGGUGGGCCGUUGUGGUUAUAUACCCCGGGAGGCAAUAUUGGUUAUAUAUAGUUCUGUUUAGAGACAACCCGGCAAGGGUUCCAGAUUCUUCGUGUGCUUGUAGAUAUCCCACCGUGGUGUGUACAGGACAUGGGCAAGAAAGCUGUGUGUUUGAGUGACAGCCCAUAAUUGGCUGAUCUGUUACAUUUUCCGUUACAAAAUUGUUCCCGGAUAAUUUUAUUUUAAAUAAUUAAAUAAAGGAUGAGAUAAAUUGCAAUAAAA